rnacentral:lncRNA from 10 species
UAGAGAUGGGAUUUCAUCAUGUUGGCCAGGCUGGUCAUGAACUCCUGACCUCAAUGGAUCCUCCUGCCUCAGCUUCCUGAGUAGCUGGGACCACAGGUGCACACCACCACGCCCAGAUGAAAUUGUGCUCCAAGUGUUUUCCAAGGUUCCGUAUGACCCAUCAUUUGAUGAAACAAGAACAGCAGUCAGAUCCAUUACAAAGAGAGACACACAAAAAAACUAUGUGAAAAUGAGCUUAGCCCCUGGUGUUGUGUUGGAACUUCAGAUGCUUGCAGACACUUCAUGAAUGCUCUGUGACACUCAGAAUAGGCUAUUCCCAACAGAAGAGCUUGAACAAUGCUGCAUUUGCAUCAGGUUCAAAUGAGCGAGAGGAACAUUUGGCUAAAAUAUUUGAUGAAAUUCUACUGCAGGUGUUUCCAAAGUUUCCGUAUGACCCAUCAUUUAACGAAGCAACAGCAGUCAGAUCCAUUACAAAGACAGACAUGAGAAAAGGAACCAGCAUUGCUUGGAAUUCUCCUAAACCAGAAUAUUUCCUUGGCAGUGUGGACAAAAUUCCUGAUAAAGAUCACCUUUCAGAGGAGAAGAAUUUUAAAGAAUCCUGUCUGUUCGACAGGGAUUUAAGAGAGCAGUUAACUACUAUAGAUAAAGAAACACUUCAAGGAGCAGCUAAACCAGAUCUCCUCUGGCAAACACGACAUAUAAUAUUUUUAUAAUGGAUGGAAAGACAUGGUGGCACAAUUCUGAAGAAAAAAAUUUCACAAAACUUGCAAAAAAACAGAAACAGUUGAAGAGCAGCUCCUGUGUCUAAGCCAGGUCGUGGGGCCGUCAAACCAGGACUUGAAACCACAAUGCGAGGACAUUCUCCAUCUGCGCACCACAGGGAGGCAAUUCCAUUUCUGCCCGGGAGGUGUAUUCUACAAAAACGUCUGCUUCCCAUCCCAAUUUGAAUGGACCAAGAAAAACUGCUUUACCAUAGGACACUUGUGGCAAUAUGGCACCGAUGGCUGGCGUCGGUGAACCCGACAGACUAUGGAUUUAUCAUUUAAUAAAGCAUUGAUUCAUUUUUUCAGUCAUUCAUUGAACAGAUAUUAAUAGACCACCUCACAUGCUGACAAUAUCAAAAUACAAUGAGGAAACUAACAGUGACCCAGGCAUGCAUUCUUCCCCGAGCAAGAUCACAGUCCAUGGUGUGAGCACAACCAUACUAAAUAGCUUUUAUGGGAGGUGGGAGUACAGAAAGUAUUAUAUCUGCAAAGAAACUGCUAAGAAUUGUGGGAGCGCCCCAGGAGGUGAUUUCCUGCUUGCGUGACCAGCACAAAGAAAUGGGGUAAUUGAGAGUGUCAUGAAGUGGGGUUAUUUAUUUAUUGAGUC